rnacentral:lncRNA from 1 species
UAUGUACCCUAGUUUGGUUAUAUGUUAUUUCCCUUAAGUUUGAGUGGUUUUUGGAUGUCUUUGGGUGAAAAAUGUUCAUGGAGAUUUUUGGAGUUUUUUAUGAAUGUUCUUUAUUGUUCUUGAUAUUUUAGCCAAGAACAAAAAGGUUUGGUGUUUUGAUUCAAAGUUUUGAUUUAUUUCAUAAAGUUUUUGUUUUGAGCUUUUCAAGUGUUUAAAUGUGUUAGAUAUUUAUUUAGAAAGGUGAUAGAAAUAUUGAUGGGUGUGUAAGGAUUAAUUCCCUUUCACACACACCACUUGCAUGACUUUUGUGUCAUGCACCUCUUACAUGACUUUACGUCAAAACUACAAAUCAACACACACAUCACUCCCUUUAAUAUCUAAAACCGGCCACCCUAUUAAAAUAGGGUACUUUUGGGGCUUUUAUGCAAUUACAUAAAGUUUUGAUACUUUUGUGUAUUUGCACUUUGGCCCAAAAGUUUACGUCUUUACGUUUAGGUCCAAAAACGCUAAAGGACAAAUUGUUUUGCUCCUUUAAUGAAGUUUUUGUAUUUGUUGAAAUUUUUGGGUUCUAGUUGUAAUUACAUGAAGUAGUGGACUUUUGUGUUUUUACAAAAUGAGCUCAAAAGUUUAAGUUUUGCAACAUAGCCCAAAAAGUUGAGGUUAUUGCAUUUUGGCCCAAAUUAGGUUGAGAACAAAAUGGUUUUGUCUCUUUAAAUGAGAAUUGGAUUUUCAUUUCAUUUAGCUCCAUUUAAAUCAAUUCUAUGGAUACAAAAACCAAAUGACAAUGUUGCAUUCAAAGUUUAAUUAGUUAAAGCGUUAAUUAAUUAAAGGGUGAUUAUGAACCUAAGCCUACGAUAAUUGAGUUAUGUGAAAGGCUGUCUCAAAUUUGUUUGAACCAUGGGAAUGUGUAGAUUAGAUUUUGGUUGUAAUUUGAUAUGAUCAAAUGUUGUAAAAGAGCAUAAGCUCUUCUUUACUUUGAAGUACUCAUUUUCUUGUUUUAUUUGAUAUGCAUGAAAUUGGAGUAGUUGGGUCCAACACCCAAUAGGAAAAACACGCCUUAAUAUGAUUAAAUGCGUAACUAAAAUCAAUCACCAUCCCUAGACCGAGAUUCAACACUAGACUCGUGUUGGAUCUAAUCAAAGGUUCAUAAUCAUCCUAAGGUCCUAAGGCAACUAUAUAGUCCAUCAAUGAAUGCAAACCUUAUGUUAGUAGUAUCAUAUACUCUUGCUUUAAAAACCAUUUUAUAAGCAUAGUGGGAGUAUUAUAUACAACUAAAAACAAUCAAAUGGACCAAUAGUUGUAAUAGGACCAAAAUUGUUUUAAUAAGAUUAAAAUGUAUAUUUAUAUAUGAUGAGACCUAAAACUCUCAACCAACCCAUUAUUAAGUUGAUAAGCGUGAGAGUGCUUUGAACACUCUUUCGUGGCCUUCCACCGUGGUAGGCUCCGAUCGUUUGUGACUCGUACACCGGCUUCACCCUAUCAUGGGGGAGUACAAAGUGCGUGCUUACACUCAGGAGGAGUUCUAUAUGCAUACAUGAUGUUGUGAAGGUAGGCAACGAGAAUAGCCAACAUCAUAUUAUUGUGAGAUUGUUCUUGAACCCCUACUCGAACUUGCAUGGUGGGAAUGACUUAACUAAGUGUAAUGGAGCCAACAUCAUAUCAUUGUGAGGCUUCAUUCUCUAGAGGCCAAAUAAGAUGGGUACUUGCAAGAGAUGCAAAUGAGUAAGUGUACUCUCUCAUUAUUAUUAAUGCUAGCCAACAUCAUAUCAUUGUGAGGUGGGCUUGGUAAUAGUGAGCCUCCCAUACCCUACUAAGAGUUUCCUCCAAAACUCUCGAAUUCCAAUGAGGGAUAUGGAAUUUGCCAAAAAUAGUGGGUGGUGCUAUUUGAUUUAAAGACCCGAAUCAAAUGGCUUAAAAUCAAUCAAUUUAUAUUCGUUAUGUAUUUGUUUACCAAUAUAUUUGCAAACGCUAUCCAAAACUUGACUAAGAAAAGCCGAAUGCUUUAGUUUCCGGACUUGGUACCACAAUCCCAAAGAUUGUCUUAAAUGGAUUGUAUAUGUACCUAAGUAGUCUAAUCCUCUCAAUCUUCCUAUUGAUAAUGUAUCAUUGGAAGAACAUGUUAGAUAAGUCUAUCAUAAAGAGGACAACACUUAAUUCUUCACUUACAAAUCGUUGUAUGAAGAAAUAAGAGUUGCUUUGAACAACCCUUAGCUAAUGCAAACACUAGUGCUUGUUUCUUUGUUAAAUUAACAAAGAACUUGAGAAGAAAGCA